rnacentral:siRNA from 1 species
AGAACGGGUUUGACGGAACGGGUU